rnacentral:rRNA from 1 species
AUUGAACGCUGGCGGCAUGCCUUACACAUGCAGGUCGAACGGCAGCACGGGGCAACCUGGUGGCGAGUGGCGAACGGGUGAGUAAUGCAUCGGAACGUACCCGGAAGUGGGGGAUAACGUAGCGAAAGUUACGCUAAUACCGCAUAUUCUGUGCGCAGGAAAGAGGGGGAUCUUCGGACCUCUUGCUUUCGGAGCGGCCGAUGUCAGAUUAGCUAGGUGGUGAGGGAAAGGCUCACCAAGGCGACGAUCUGUAGCGGGUCUGAGAGGAUGAUCCGCCACACGGGAACUGAGACACGGUCCAGACUCCUACGGGAGGCAGCAGUGGGGAAUUUUGGACAAUGGGCGCAAGCCUGAUCCAGCCAUGCCGCGUGAGUGAAGAAGGCCUUCGGGUUGUAAAGCUCUUUCGGCCGGGAAGAAAUCGCAUGGAUUAAUACUCUGUGCGGAUGACGGUACCGGCAUAAGAAGCACCGGCUAACUACGUGCCAGCCGCCGCCGUAAGAC